ensembl:lncRNA
GUGUGGUGUGUGUGUGUGUGUGUGUGUGUGUGUUCGUUCUUCAGACAGGAAAACCUCACAGAGACGGGUUUGUACACCAACAUGUAGCUUUAUCACACCUCCACCACCACCGCAAUGACCAGGCCUCCGUUAUCACCGUCCACAUCACCGUAAAGACACGACGCUAUUCUCCCGGAUCCGAUGGAGGGAGCAGUGAGGGUGGCCGAGGCCGGAGGGAGCUCAUCCUCAGCCGGGGCCGCUGUGGCGGAGGACACGGAGACCGUCAUUGGAGUCGGAUACGGGAUAGAAGCUGUGAGUUUCACCCUGAGGGAGGUUGUUGUAGUCCCACACUACAACCUGACUGCUCUCUCUCAGGUCCGGUGAUUCCCUGCAGUUUUGGCCCAUGCUGUGCUGCAGGAUCUGCAUGCUCCUCCUUGGUUCCUUCCCGCUGUGCAGAUCUGUGCUCAUCUCAUUAUAGGAAGGACUUCCUGCACAGCUGUUUCUGAUCAUGUAUGCCAAGCGGCAUGUCUUCAUAUUUAUCCACCCAUCUCUCAUAAUGCUUUUCCAUAGAACCACAG